rnacentral:lncRNA from 1 species
UUGAAUAUUCUUUUCUCCACCUCUUCUAUGAACAGAAAACCGGUAGGAGAUCAGGUUGUCAACAUAUCAGGAAGACUCAUGGAAUGAACACCAAUGAUUUUACCACCGGCAUCAGGGAAUUGCUCAUUAUCUGGUAAGGGGCUCACUGUCCCAUCAGCAUCUACUUGCAGAGGAUAUCUGAGGAGGUGGCCCUGCAAUGGUGUGAACUCCGUGGCUGUGAAUCUACCCCAGUUUUCUCCGGCAAUCUGAUUUACCUUCCUUAUA